UAGCGGGACUCCCUUCCCCUCUGGUCAUUCUCCCGUCUUCUCUGGCCUGCUCUCUUCCCAGGAAAGAGGACUUCUAUGCAGGACUACAUUACCCAAAUUCCCUUGCCAGCUUCAGUUUGGGGCCAGCCAAUGGGAGGAAGUGCCAGGGAACCAGUAGGCGGGAGAAGAAAGACUACAGAACUUCCUUCCUGCCCCCUCCGACUUCUGCCUCCCUCACUGGCAGCAACCCAACCCCUCCAUUGCUGACCUCUGCCCACCUCUACCAGUGGUCCUUCCUCUGCUGCAGCAGUGACACUAUUUUCUUCCUUUGUUCUUCCAACCCCAGUUAUAGGGUUGGUGCCUCAGGAAAUAACUGCUUUGGGAGAGAAGGACCAGGGGAAGAAGAGAGUGGCCUGCCUGCCUUCUGCUGUUUUCUCAAAUGGCAAGGUGCCAUACACAGGAGUAGCAUGUCCUGAAUUCCAUCAUUAACUUGAUUUUUGGGAGCCCCCAGAAAGCAUACUCGGCAAAUCAAUUUCGGGUAGGCUUAGAAUAAAUAUUAAGCUUUGAGCAUGUUCUUGUCUAUUAACACUGGAAGAAACACAUUCUGAUAAACAUUGUUGUGCUAUAUCUGCUGAUGCAUUCUUUAGACCUGUGACAUGGAAUAUAGUGGCAGAAAAUGAAUUGGC
rnacentral:lncRNA from 1 species